UGAAAUAGCCUAAUUACAUACGAAUAUGAUGCUAAUUCAAAUCAAGAAUGAGCAGACAGAGCCUAUAUGUGACAAGCUCAUCGGGGUCUAGCCAAGUUUAUGUCAUCCGUAUCUAGUUAAAGCACCCCCACAUCGACCGGGUUGAGAAUACAUUUGAUCAAGAUUUCAGGAUUCGAAGCCAAUUCAUGAGUUUAGUCCAAGUCCAAAUAGGUUCGGAUUGGAAUCAGUUAAUCGGAUCUGCUUCCCUUCUAGCUUUUGGUAUUGAUUUCUAAGAAGUAACAAGAAUUCA
rnacentral:lncRNA from 1 species